CUAUUCUUAUCAGUUUAAUAUCUGAUGUGUCCUCUAUUUGGGCAUAAUAUAUAAAACAAAUUUUUGGAGAAGGGAGAUACAAUAGGAGCUUGUUCCAUCCACUCCAUGCAUUAACCUGGUAUUGCAGUACCUCCAGGAAUGGUGC
ensembl:snRNA U2 U2 spliceosomal RNA